rnacentral:rRNA from 1 species
GCCCAACAGCUAGCCCACCCAACCAAACUCAACAAACCCCUGUUAAUAACCCCUAAGUACCCCCGUAUUUGAAUUAAACAAACCAUUUUUCCCCCUUAGUAUAGGCGAUAGAAAAGGGAUACCGGCGCAAUAGAGAAAGUACCGCAAGGGAACGCUGAAAGAGAAAUGAAAUAACCCAGUAAAGCCUAAAAAAGCAGAGAUUAAGCCUCGUACCUUUUGCAUCAUGAUUUAGCGAGUGUACCCCAAGCAAAGCGUACUUUAGUUUGGCGCCCCGAAACUACGUGAGCUACUCCAAGACAGCCUAUUAAUAGGGCGCACCCGUCUCUGUGGCAAAAGAGUGGGGAGAGCUUUGAGUAGAGGUGAUAAACCUACCGAACCUAGUUAUAGCUGGUUGUCCAAGAAAUGAAUAGAAGUUCAGCCUCCUGGCUUCUCUUUUCACCCUAGUUUAACCCCUAUUGAUGCAAUAAGAAACCAGGAGAGUUAGUCAAAGGGGGUACAGCCCCUUUGAAUCAAGACACAACUUUACCAGGAGGAU